rnacentral:rRNA from 1 species
GACGAACGCUGGCGGCGUGCUUAACACAUGCAAGUCGAACGGUAAGGCCCUUCGGGGUACACGAGAGGCGAACGGGUGAGUAACACGUGGGUGAUCUGCCCUGCACUUCGGGAUAAGCCUGGGAAACUGGGUCUAAUACCGGAUAGGACCACUGCCUGCAUGGGUGGUGGUGGGAAGCUUUUGCGGUGUGGGAUGGGCCCGCGGCCUAUCAGCUUGUUGGUGGGGUGAUGGCCUACCAAGGCGACGACGGGUAGCCGGCCUGAGAGGGUGACCGGCCACACUGGGACUGAGAUACGGCCCAGACUCCUACGGGAGGCAGCAGUGGGGAAUAUUGCACAAUGGGCGCAAGCCUGAUGCAGCGACGCCGCGUGAGGGAUGACGGCCUUCGGGUUGUAAACCUCUUUCAGCACCGACGAAGCGCAAGUGACGGUAGGUGCAGAAGAAGGACCGGCCAACUACGUGCCAGCAGCCGCCGUAA